GACGAACGCUGGCGGCGUGCUUAACACAUGCAAGUCGAACGGUAAGGCCUUGCGGGGGUACCGAGUGGCGAACGGGUGAGUAAGACGGGGGUGAGCGGGGCAGCACUUCGUGAGCAGGGCGGGAAACUGGGACAAGUAUGGUAUAGGAGUGUGCAGUCCUUACCGAGAGGUGGAAAGAUUGAACGAUGCAGGAGCGGCACGCGGCCAAUCAGCUGCUUGGUGGGGUAAUGGUGUACCCGGGCGAGGACGGGAAGCCGGCCUGAGAGGGCGACCGGCCACACUGGGCCUGGGGCACGGCCCAGAGUCCUACGGGAGGCAGCGGUGGGGAAUAUUGCACAAUGGGCCGAAGCCUGAUGCAGCGACGCCGCGUGGGGGAUGACGGCCUUCGGGUUGUAAACCUCUUUCAGCAGGGACGAGGCGUGAGUGACGGUACCUGCAGAAGAAGCACCGGCCAACUACGUG
rnacentral:rRNA from 1 species